GUAGAGAUGGCUGAGCGGACCAAAGUGGCGGAUUGCUAAUCCGUAGUACGGAUUAUCUGUACCAAGGGUUCGAAUCCCUCUCUCUUCG
rnacentral:tRNA from 1 species